rnacentral:rRNA from 1 species
GAUGAACGCUGGCGGCGUGCCUAAUACAUGCAAGUCGAGCGAACGGACGAGAAGCUUGCUUCUCUGAUGUUAGCGGCGGACGGGUGAGUAACACGUGGAUAACCUACCUAUAAGACUGGGAUAACUUCGGGAAACCGGAUCUAAUACCGGAUAAUAUUUUGAACCGCAUGGUUCAAAAGUGAAAGACGGUCUUGCUGUCACUUAUAGAUGGAUCCGCGCUGCAUUAGCUAGUUGGUAAGGUAACGGCUUACCAAGGCAACGAUGCAUAGCCGACCUGAGAGGGUGAUCGGCCACACUGGAAGUGAGACACGGUCCAGACUCCUACGGGAGGCAGCAGUAGGGAAUCUUCCGCAAUGGGCGAAGGCCUGACGGAGCAACGCCGCGUGAGUGAUGAAGGUCUUCGGAUCGUAAAACUCUGUUAUUAGGGAAGAACAUAUGUGUAAGUAACUGUGCACAUCUUGACGGUACCUAAUCAGAAAGCCACGGCUAACUACGUG